rnacentral:rRNA from 1 species
GACGAACGCUAGCGGGAUGCCUUACACAUGCAAGUCGAACGGAGUGGCGAACGGGUGAGUAAUGUAUCGGAACGUGCCCAGUAGCGGGGGAUAACUACGCGAAAGCGUAGCUAAUACCGCAUACUAUUAGGUCGGCCGAUAUCGGAUUAGCUAGUUGGUGGGGUAACGGCCCACCAAGGCGACGAUCCGUAGCUGGUUUGCGAGGACGACCAGCCACACGGGAACUGAGACACGGCCCAGACUCCUACGGGAGGCAGCAGUGGGGAAUAUUGGACAAUGGGGGAAACCCUGAUCCAGCCAUCCCGCGUGUGUGAUGAAGGCCUUCGGGUUGUAAAGCACUUUUGGCAGGAAAGCGGUACCUACAGAAUAAGCACCGGCUAACUACGUGCCAGCAGCCGCGGUAAUAC